UCUACACAGAGAAACUGAAAUCUGGUUAGUCAAGAAGGAAAAAACAACCAAGUGCCUAGCAUUAAGAGGAUUUUUUUUUUAAGCUCAGCCUAUGGACAACAAAAGCAUGGACUGUAUUUCUCAGCAUCUUUUGCAGCUUAUUGUUCAAAGUCCAGUGAGCUACCUCAGGCUUUUCUCUGUGGAAUGACUGUUGCAGAGAACUGCAACUCAGAAGAAUGGAGUUUAAAACUGUGAUGACAUUCUACCUCAUUGAAGAAAUCCUCCAAUGCCAAGGGUGGAUCUCUAAAGAAGGAUUCAAUCCAGGAUCACAUCUUAUAUUUACAAUAACAUGCCUUUUUUCUCCUUCAGUCUGGAACAGUGUCUCAGUCUUUGUUCUUUAUGACAUUGACAUAUUUUAAAGAAUAAAAGCCAAUUCUUUUAUGCACCAUC
rnacentral:antisense_RNA from 1 species